rnacentral:rRNA from 1 species
CCUACGGGUGGCAGCAGUGAGGAAUAUUGGUCAAUGGGCGGAAGUCUGAACCAGCCAAGUAGCGUGAGGGAUGACGGCCCUAUGGGUUGUAAACUGCUUUUGUAUGGGGAUAACAUGUUCCACGUGUGGAGGUUUGUAGGUACCGUGUGAAUAAGGGUCGGCUAAAUCCGUGCCAGCAGCCGCGGUAAUACGGAGGAUCCGAGCGUUAUCCGGAUUUAUUGGGUUUAAAGGGAGCGUAGGUGGAUGUUUAAGUCAGUUGUGAAAGUUUGCGGCUCAACCGCAAACUGUGAGUUGAAAAUGGCAGUCCUGAGGACAGCAGCGGUGGGGCGAAUUUGGGGU